rnacentral:rRNA from 1 species
GAUGAACGCUGGCGGCGUGCCUAAUACAUGCAAGUCGAGCGAACGGACGAGAAGCUUGCUUCUCUGAUGUUAGCGGCGGACGGGUGAGUAACACGUGGAUAACCUACCUAUAAGACUGGGAUAACUUCGGGAAACCGGAGCUAAUACCGGAUAAUAUUUUGAACCGCAUGGUUCAAAAGUGAAAGACGGUCUUGCUGUCACUUAUAGAUGGAUCCGCGCUGCAUGAGCUAGUUGGUAAGGUAACGGCUUACCAAGGCAACGAUGCAUAGCCGACCUGAGAGGGUGAUCGGCCACACUGGAACUGAGACACGGUCCAGACUCCUACGGGAGGCAGCAGUAGGGAAUCUUCCGCGAUGGGCGAAAGCCUGACGGAGCAACGCCGCGUGAGUGAUGAAGGUCUUCGGAUCGUAAAACUCUGUUAUUAGGGAAGAACAUAUGUGUAAGUAACUGUGCACAUCUUGACGGUACCUAAUCAGAAAGCCACGGCUAACUACGUG